CCUACGGGUGGCAGCAGUGGGGAAUAUUGCACAAUGGGGGAAACCCUGAUGCAGCAACGCCGCGUGAGUGAAGAAGUUUUUCGGUAUGUAAAGCUCUAUCAGCAGGGAAGAAAAAAGACGGUACUUGACUAAGACGCCCCGGCUAACUACGUGCCAGCAGCCGCGGUAAUCCGUAGGGGGCAAGCGUUGUCCGGAUUUACUGGGUGGAAAGGGAGCGUAGACGGCAUAGCAAGUCUGAAGUGAAAGCCCGUGGCUCAACCGCGGAACUGCUGUGGAACCUGUUAAGCUGGAGUGCUGGAGAGGCGAGCGGAAUUCCUAGUGUAGCGGUGAAAUGCGUAGAUAUUAGGAGGAACACCAGUGGCGAAGGCGGCUUGCUGGACAGGGACUGACGUUGAGGCUCGAAAGCGUGGGGAGCAAACAGGAUUAGAUACCCUGGUAGUC
rnacentral:rRNA from 1 species